GAAGAGAACAUGAGAUAACUAAGCAGCCAUGCUGUAUUUUGUUGUUUUCUUAUUUCUACUUGAGUAUGAUGAAAAUAUGCAGUUUCCAUGAACGACCACAUGAAUCAAAUAGUGGGGAAAGCAGAUGCCAGACAGAAUCAUAGAAGAACCUUAAGGAAAUAUAACUCAUCCACAAACGAAGUAGCAUACAAGGUGCUUGUAUGACUGAUUCUUGAAUAUUGUUCAUCAAUCUUGGACCCAUGCCAGAUGUAUCUCCACGAAAUCCAGAAGUUGUUCCUCAUCUUUCAGUGUCUUACUAUUGGAUGUGUGCAGUCAAGUCCCCUUAAAAUGCACUUUUUCCUUCAUAAAUGCAACAAAAAUGAUGCAGCUAAGGGAAUACUGACAUCGAUAGUGCUGCUCAGAGUCAUAAGCAUCCCUGGGCAGAGAGAGGGGGGGGCACUGAACAGGAAUAUCUGUGCAAUAAAUGAAGACUUCAGCAUGCUGUGAG